CUGGCUCAGAACGAACGCUGGCGGCGCGUUUAAAGCAUGCAAGUCGGACGGGAUUAUAAUUGCUUGCAAUUAUAAUUUAGUGGCGAACGGGUGAGUAACGCGUAGAUGAUCUACCAACAGAUGGGGGAUAGUCCCUUGAAAGAGGGUUAAUACCGCAUAAUAUGUAUUAAUUUAAUGUUAAUACAUGAAAGCAGCGAUGCGUCUGUUGAUGAGUCUGCGUUCCAUUAGCUAGUUGGUGAGGUAAGAGCUCACCAAGGCGAUGAUGGAUAGCCGGUUUGAGAGGAUGACCGGUCACAUUGGGACUGAGAUACGGCCCAGACUCCUACGGGAGGCAGCAGCUAAGAACCUUCCGCAAUGGGCGAGAGCCUGACGGAGCGACGCCGCGUGGACGAAGAAGGCGUUUUGCGUUGUAAAUGUCCUUUUUAUAUGGAAAAAUGCUAUAUAUCAGAUAUAGUUGAUGGUACAUAUGAACGAGCCCCGGCUAAUUACGUGCCAGCAGCCGCGGUACGACGUAAGGGGCGAGCGUUGUUCGGAAUUAUUGGGCAUAAAGGGCGAGUAGGCGGUCUAGUAAGUUAUAGGUGGAAAAUAUGGGCUCAACCUGUAUCUUGCCUAUAAAACUGUUGGACUAGAGUAUGAGAUAGGAUGUCGGAAUUCCUGGUGUAGGGGUGGAAUCUAUAGAUAUCAGGAGGAACACCGAUGGCGAAGGCAGGCAUCUGGCUCUGUACUGACGCUGAGGAGCGAAAGCGUGGAUAGCGAACAGGAUUAGAUACCCUGGUAGUCCACGCAGUAAACGUUGUAUACUAGGUGUAUGGGGUAUCGAUCCCCUGUGUGCCGUAGCAAAUGCAUUAAGUAUACCGCCUGGGGAGUAUGCCGGCAACGGUGAAGCUCAAAGGAAUUGACGGGGGCCCGCACAAGCGGUGGAGCAUGUGGUUUAAUUCGAUGAUACGCGAAGAAUCUUACCUGGGUUUGACAUGUAGACUACGGGAUAAGAGAUUAUCCUUCCCGCAAGGGUGUUUACACAGGUGCUGCAUGGCUGUCGUCAGCUCGUGUCGUGAGAUGUUGGGUUAAGUCCUGCAACGAGCGCAACCCUCAUAUCUAGUUGCCAACAGGUAAUGCUGGGAACUCUAGAUAAACUGCUGGGCGUGAGCCGGAGGAAGGUGGGGAUGACGUCAAGUCCUCAUGGCCUUUAUAUCCAGGGCUACACACGUGCUACAAUGGUAGGUACAAAGAGAAGCGAAUACGGGAGUUGGAGCCAAUCUCAGAAAGCCUAUCUAAGUUCGGAUUGGAGUCUGAAACUCGACUUCAUGAAGUUGGAAUCGCUAGUAAUCGCAGAUCAGCACGCUGCGGUGAAUACGUUCCCGGGCCUUGUACACACCGCCCGUCACACCACCCGAGUUGGAUGUACCCGAAGUUGCAGAGCUAACCUAUUUGGAGGCAUGCACCUAAGGUAUGUCUAGUAAGG
rnacentral:rRNA from 1 species